AGUCGACGACUCUGGUAUUGAUUGGUGCUUGCAUCAUGAUUUACAUUUGAGUGAGUGGCGAACUGGUGAGUAACACGUGGGAAACCUGCCCAGAAGCGGGGGAUAACACCUGGAAACAGAUGCUAAUACCGCAUAACAACUUGGACCGCAUGGUCCGAGUUUGAAAGAUGGCUUCGGCUAUCACUUUUGGAUGGUCCCGCGGCGUAUUAGCUAGAUGGUGGGGUAACGGCUCACCAUGGCAAUGAUACGUAGCCGACCUGAGAGGGUAAUCGGCCACAUUGGGACUGAGACACGGCCCAAACUCCUACGGGAGGCAGCAGUAGGGAAUCUUCCACAAUGGACGAAAGUCUGAUGGAGCAACGCCGCGUGAGUGAAGAAGGGUUUCGGCUCGUAAAACUCUGUUGUUAAAGAAGAACAUAUCUGAGAGUAACUGUUCAGGUAUUGACGGUAUUUAACCAGAAAGCCACGGCUAACUACGUGCCAGCAGCCGCGGUAAUACGUAGGUGGCAAGCGUUGUCCGGAUUUAUUGGGCGUAAAGCGAGCGCAGGCGGUUUUUUAAGUCUGAUGUGAAAGCCUUCGGCUCAACCGAAGAAGUGCAUCGGAAACUGGGAAACUUGAGUGCAGAAGAGGACAGUGGAACUCCAUGUGUAGCGGUGAAAUGCGUAGAUAUAUGGAAGAACACCAGUGGCGAAAGCGGCUGUCUGGUCUGUAACUGACGCUGAGGCUCGAAAGUAUGGGUAGC
rnacentral:rRNA from 2 species